UUUCCUAACGGCUAAGUCUACACGGAGGCAUAUGCACCGCCAAAAACCUCCCCAAAAUCCUAGUACUAUGCUAAUCCUCGUACGAUCUUUUUGUCUUCUACCUUCACCUUCUCCCUAGGCUGAUUUCCCUAGGACCCUUUACUAUAAAUCGUCCUUCCAGCUUGAUUUCAACUAUCAUGACAGAGAUAAUCAGUUUCUUGAUUUCGUGUUGGCAAAAA
rnacentral:lncRNA from 1 species